CAUCCAAGGAGGGUGCAUCAGCGUAACUUUUUAAUGUCGCUAAUGCAAAAAACUCGAUUGCGUUGUUUUAGGUUCAUGAUGCUCCGGCUCCGCUCCAUGGAUCUUUGAUCGACCAAGUCUCACAGUAAACGUCUGAUGUGGUACGGUCAUGUACAGAGGCAUCCAGAAGACUACAUCGCUCGAGAUUCCAACGACGAAGCGAGGCAGUGGAAGACGGUGUUGGUAACUCCAACAGUAAUAUUCGUUCAUUCAUGCAUUCGUUUAAACGCUUGCUCCGUUCUCGACGGUCUGGCAAUCUGUUGCCAUGAUUAAAUGCACAAGUACAUCUCUGUGCUGUUAAUCAUUAAAGAUAAUGUGACCAUCAAGACGGCUUUCUGUUCUUCGCCCAUCUACUAAACCAGCACUAGAUUUCCGCUGAACAGAUGGCCUGUCACCUGGCUGACGGUUCAGCGAGACCUGAUAGAUCAUAAUAUAGUUUAAAGAAAAC